CAAACUUCCGAUGGCGACCGGCGCACGGGUGAGUAACACGUAUCCAACCUGCCGAUAACUCGGGGAUAGCCUUUCGAAAGAAAGGUUAAUAUCCGAUAGGAUAUCAAGAUCGCAUGAUCUUGAUAUUAAAGAAUUUCGGUUAUCGAUGGGGAUGCGUUCCAUUAGUUAGUUGGCGGGGUAACGGCCCACCAAGACGACGAUGGAUAGGGGUUCUGAGAGGAAGGUCCCCCACAUUGGAACUGAGACACGGUCCAAACUCCUACGGGAGGCAGCAG
rnacentral:rRNA from 1 species